CCGAAACCAUACGGAUGCAAAUCGCAAGAGGUUUAUUGGGUAAACACAGGUACCUGCGGGCGGCAAGUCUUUCGGAGGACUUGCGCGCCUGCCAACUGGAGGGCGGGUUUUUUUUAUAGGGAAGAGCAAAAAGCAAGUUUACAGAAGAAAAAGCAUGGUUAUCGGAAUGAGGCGGGGGCAUGAAUGGUUUUCUCUCUCAGCAUGGGUGUCAGCAAAAGUCAUCCUGUUUCUAUCUUAUAGAUAUCCUGUUUUGCAGUCAACCUGCUUUGUUGAUGUCCUAUCUUAUUGAUAUCCUGCCUUGCAGUCUUCCUAUCUCAUCCUGCUCUCUCAAGCACAUGGGAUGUUCUAAUGAGAGCAGGCUGGCUGCUGCGGCUUUUGAGGAGGGAGUGUGUAGGGUCUUUCAGGUACCAGGGUAACUGUUGCCCCGUAAAAAGAGUUUGGCAAUGUACCUUCUGUUUCUAUUGUGUGGAACAGUUUCAGGAGUAUUGGUAUUCGCUUUUAUUUCAAGUUCUGGUAGAAUUCUGCGCUGAAACCAUCAGGCUGUGGAGCCGUUUACUUUUUCCGUACGCGAAAUUCACUCGCGCGCUUAGCAGUACGACAAUUUUGCGAUUAACCGGCAUGCGUUGCGGCUACACCUUUGUGCCGUACGGCUUCCUACGCAUCUUGGACUAUUCCCAGGACAAAGGUGAUUCCUAGAUAGAUAUGGGCCACAGCCCAUCCGCUUGUGAGAAGAGCUUGCUGGAGAGGAUAAUGGGUGCGACAGAGACCCAACUGACCAUCUCUUGUCACCAAAUGAAACUUUCAGUACUGGCUUGAGUUACGUCUGAAUGAGUUGUUGGCCAAAGGGAUCCCAUGGGAAUACCCAAACAACCAUGGCUGUUGGCAAGACAACAGGCUGCUUUUUACAAACUGACAGCAAGGCCCAUUGUUGGUGACAAUAGAAACACAACUCAUUGAACAUGAAGAAGUCCUACACAGCCUUCAAUCUCUUUGUUACAGGAAGGUACUCUGCAUGACACCGGAAGACAAAUAAUGCAGUGCCAACCGAGCCAGGAGAUGCUAUGGGCAGGUGUGUGGCUCCAGCAGGUGUAGAAAGAACUCUACUGUCAUUGUGCGGAAAUGGGUUCUUCCCCCACUCUUAUAUAAAGGCAAGCAGUUAUUAAGUGGAGGGCACGAGGUCAGAGUCAACCAUGGUGUCAGAUCUAAAGGAGAAGGAACUGGGACAAGUAGAGACCCUCCUCUCGAAUGGUGAAGCAAUUUACCUCUCCUGGGAACAGAGGAGUGCCCGAUGAUUAGCAUUAGUUCCUUGGAGCUUCUCAAAUAAAAGGUAUCUAGCAGGAUUAAAGUAAGCAGAUCACAGGGCAUCCUCUUAGGCCAUGUUUAGUCUGCAUCUUAGCUUCAAAGCAAACCAGAGUUCAAACUGCAGAGGGAGCUCAGCAUUUGUGCUUCAGGGCAGGUGGGAUACCUGGGUGAGGUGAGCUGGAUUCAGCUAUCUGAAGCACAUCCUGGCACUUAUCUCAGGCAAGUCUCCCUGGACUCUGGAGGCAGGAUAACACCCUGUAGAGUGGCAUAGCAGGUUCUGUUAUCAGGCACUCUUCUCCUUCGGGGCAGGGAAGGCCGGUCCAGCAAGGACCUCUUUGCAAUCACCUCUGGAACUCCUCAGUGGGAUGUCCGCAGCCUCGAAGUCAGGUCCAGAUUUUAUUUUCUUUCUGUGAAAAAAGCAUAAACAUACCCUCGACCCCAAAUAUACAUAGGUCGGGUUUUUUCAUAAUGAAUUGCAAGGGCUUUUUUACCUUGCCUUAGCAAAGGUCAGCUUGGUGUUAUCAGGCCAGAUCCAUUUGCAUCUGGAUCUGCUUGCAACUUUUAUAAGCUGCUUUGAAGGAGCCUUGUUUUGCUCCACAAUUUUUUUUAUUAUUAUUAGCCAUAUAUGCAGUUCUUCCAUUGGAAAAGCCAUUUGUAAAAUUUUAGCAUAAAAUCCUUUAAGGGAUUUUUUGCUAUAACAUUAGUAAAAUACAGUUGUGUGAAUUGUAGCAAUGAUCUGGGAAAAGAUCAUUGUUUUUGCCUUUGAAUUGAGCAAAGGCAAUUGUCCAGGAAUCCAUCUUAAAAUUAUCAAUGAAUCUAUUAUUUAGUAUAAGAAACAUUGAUCAUAGUCAAUUUUCCAUAUAGCCCAUUGAAAUUCCUUUUAAUGAGACCUGGAGGCAGGGGAGAAUUAGAAAAGUAGAGAAUUAUAAGAAGCUCCACACCGGACUGAAAUCUCAAGGUCCAAAUCAGGAGCAGAAGGAGAGAGAGCACAAGCAAGGAACUCAGGACCGCGAGGGGUGCACCCAUACACUGAGACAAUGGGGAUGUUCUAUCGGGAACUCACCAAGGCCAGCUGGCCUGGGUCUGAAAAAGCCUGGGUUAAAACCGGUCUCGCUGAACAUAGUGGAUAAUGAGGACUACUGAGACCUCAAGAACAAUGGCAAUGGGUUUUUGAUCCUACUGCACAUAUUGGAUUUGUGGGAGCCUAGGCAGUUUGGAUGCUCACCUUACUAGACCUGGAUGGAGGUGGGUGGUCCUUGGACUUCCCACAGGGCAGGGAACCCUGAUUGCUCUUUGGGCUGACGAGGGAGGGGGACUUAAUUGGAGGAGGGGAGGGAAAGGGGAGGCAGUGGUGGGGAAGAGACAGAAAUCUUCAAUAAAUAAAUAAAUUUAAAAAAAAAAAAGAAGCUCCAAGGUGGGUCUCCUAGCAUUCUCCAAAGACCCAGGCCCUAAGAACCUGGAAACUGAUUCUCUUGUUGAGUACCGACCUGAAGAAUGAUGAUAUCGAGGCAGAAAUUGUUCUUGUCAUGCUUGUAUUCAAAUGAGAUUUCUUUUUUUUUUUCAGACACGAAGGGCGGGUGCAUUGCUCCAGCAGACGCGAAGGGCAGGUGCAUUGCUCCAGCAGGUAUACAAAGAACUCUACUGCCAUCGUGCGGAAAUGGGUUCUAUACCAUAUAGCCCAUUGGUAUUAAUUUUCAUGAGACCUGGAGGUCGGGGAGAAAUAGAAAGGUCGAGAAUUAUUUAAGAAGCUCCAAGAAUGCCACUCUAAAAGGAAUUUAGAGUGGACCCUCGCGGGCUGGAAGUCCUGAUGUGUGACCAUUAGGUGGUACCUGUGUGAACAUGAUCUGGUGGAAAUAUUCAGGUAAGUACACGUUUUUAAGAAUUCUUGCUUCCUGCUCCUACUCCUGCCCCUUGCGCCAAGAGUUAGAAGGUCUUUAUGUAAUGUAAUUGUGUCUGAAAAAUCCAAGGUGAACCAUUACAACACGGUUUGGGGUCUCAAGUAUACCCAGAGGUCUGGAGCCUGGUUAUGUCUUGUAGCAGAGUAGAUGUGUCUAAAAACCAGUACCAAAAGCCAGAUGGUAAUCUCAGCACUCGGUGGUUUAAAGAAUUGUGACUUCACAUCCCUCGUCAUGAUAGAGGAGUAGAGAAACAAAGUCUAUUUAGAAUGGCAUCAAAAUGAAUAAUGUAUGUUGUUCAUCUGGAAAUGGGAAGAAAACAUUCAUAUAAAUGAAAUAUAUGUGUAUAAGAAAAAGAUUAUGAUAUAUGGUACAUGAUGUUUGAAAUUGGUAUUUCUUCUCACUGGGCUUUGUUUACUGCAUACUUUACUAUUUUCUUAAGAGUCUUAAGGAGUUUCAACCAUGGGAAAAUAUAUUACUGAUAUGAAUAUAUGCCAGCUGUGUAAGGUACUGAUGAAGACUAAAGUGACUAUUGCGUGCAGUUAGUUUUAGUAAGAAAUGUGUAUAGAUGUAUGCAUCUGUAUACAUGUUCACAUUUUUCAAGCUGUGUUUUUCUAUUUAAAUAGUAUUUUUUCAUUUAUUUUACAUACCAACCACAGUUUCCCCUCCCUCUUCUCAUCUAAGGCCCCUGUUUUUUCUCUCCUCGAUCUCCAUUCAGAAAGGAACAGGCCUCCCGUGGACAUUAGCAAAGCAUGGGACAUCAAGUUGAGACAGGACCAAGCUCUCCCCUUGUAUCAAGGCUGGGCAAGGUAAUCCAGUAUGGGGAACAGGUCUCCAAAAGGCAGCUAAGAACAGGUCCUGAUCUCACUGCUAUGUCCCUUACAAAAGAGACCAAGCUAUACAACUCACAUAGAUGCAGAGGGCCUAACUUGGUCCCAUGGAGGCUCCCUAACUGUUGAUCCAGAGUCCAUGAGCUUCUAUAAGCGCAGGUCAAGCUGUGUGGUUUUUUUUUUCUAUCAUUGUCUCUAUUAGUGUAUAUAUGUGAAAGUGGACAUUUCUAAUAAGCAUAUUUAUAUUUGUUUGAGACAGAGUCUCACUAUGUAGUGCUAGCUGACUUGAAAGUGUCUAUGGAGAUCUGGCUGGCCUUAAGUUUGCUGCAGUCCUGUUUCUGCCUCCUCAAGCUGGGACUACUGAACUGAAGCACUAUACUUGGCUAGAUAUUUAUGUUUGUGCUGAUUUCUAUUUAAAUAGAGAUAGAUGUUCCUGGAAAGCUAUAUGUGCGUGGGAAUAAUGUAAAUACAUCAAUCUUAUUAAACCCAGGGUACACAGUUGGGUGACUGAAUUGGGAGAUGACAGUUUCAACCAUUAUUAUUAUUUUAUUUAUUUUUAUUUUUAUUUAUUUUUUUUUUUUGGCUUUUUCAAGACAGGGUUUCUCUGUAGCUUUGGAGCCUGUCCUGGAACUAGCUCUUGUAGACCAUGCUGUCCUCGAACUCACAGAUAUGCCUGCCUCUGCCUCCUGGGUGCUGGAAUUAGAGGCGUGUGCCACCAAUGCCUGACUCAACCAUUACUUUUGAAAUUUUGUUUUUGAAGAUAGAUUUCCUCCUUUGAGAGGUGGCUUGGGCAUACUCUCCUGUUCAUAGCUCUAGCUGAACUUGAAUUUGCUAGAAAUCUGAUUCUCCUGCCUUAAAAUUAUUCACAGAUACUAUGACAUUUCUAAAAGUAUAAUAUUGAGACAAACAGCUCUUGGGUUUUUUUGUUUUGUUUUGUUUUGUGGCAGGGUUUCCCUGGGUAGCCUUGGCUAUCCUGAAACUCACUCUGUAGAUCAGGCUGGUCUUGAAUUCAUAGAGAUGCGCCUGCCUCUGCCUCCCUAAUACUGGGUUUAAAGGCAUGUGCCACCAUUGCCCAACUAAAACAAAACUUAACAUCCAGAUUUAAGAAUUAAAAAGUCCUGAUUUUCUAUAGUAUAAAUAUGGAUUGCGUGUGAAUUUACAUUCUACAUUAUAUAAUAAUUUUUAGGUUUUUUAGGUCAUAUACAGCUUUAUUCUCAUCAUUUUUUAAAAUUGAUAUUUAUUGAGCUCUAUAUUUUUCGCUGCUCCCCUCCCUGUCUCUCUGCUUUCCCCUUCAAUCCUCCCCCAAGGUCCCCAUGCCCCCAAUUUACUCAGGAGAUCUUGUCUUUUCCUACUUCCCUUGUAGAUUAGAACUAUGUAUGUGUCUCUUAGUGUCCUCAUUGUUGUGGAUUCUCUGGGAUUUGGGGUUGUAGGCUGGUUUUCUUUGCCUUAUGUUUAAAAACCACCUAUGAGUGGGUACAUGUGAUAAUUGUCUUUCUGUGUCUGGGUUACCUCACUCAAAAUAAUGUUUUCUAGUUCCAUCCAUUUUCCUGCAAUGUAACAUGAAGGGCCAGGCCUGCUUGUUUGUUGGAGUUUUUGUCCUGCCCGGUACCCCACAACUGUUUAGCCCCAAAGAAAAUCACACAUAGGUCUCCAUAAAUUAUAAGCUGAUUGGCCCAUUAGCUCUAGCCUCUCACUGGCUAACUUUCACAUCUUGAUUAACCCAUUUUUCUGAUCUAUGUUAGCCAUGUGACUCAGUACCUUUUUCCAUGGGGCAGAUCACAGCCUGCUGCUUCGGUGGUCUGAGCAGAAGUGGGAGGAAUCAACUUCCUCCUUCCCAGAAUUCUCCUGUUCUCAUUACAUCAUUUCUACUUGCUGUCUAGUUUUCCCGCCUAUACUUCCUGCCUGGCCAGUCAGCAUUUAUUUUAAACAUGAUUGACCGAUUACAGACGAUUCUCCCGCACCACUGCAAACUUCAAGAUGUCAUUAUUUUUUUCUGCUGUGUAGUACUCCAUUGUGUAAAUGUACCAAAUUUUCCUUAUCCAUUCUUCAGUUGAGGGGCAUUUAGGUUGUUUCCAGGCUAUAACAAAGAAUGCUGCUAUGAACAUAGUUGAGCACAUGUCCUUGUGGCACAAUUGAGUAUCCUUUGGAUAAAUAACCCAAAAGUGGUAUUACUGGAUCUUGAGGAAGGUUGUUUCCUAAUUUUCUGAGAAAUCGCAGCACCGACAUCCAAAGGGGUUCUACCAGUUUGCAUUCCCACCAGCAAUGCAGAAGUGUUCCCCUUUCCCCACAACCUCUCCAGCAUAAGCUGUCAUCAGUGUUUUUGAUCUUGGCCAUUCUUACAUGUGUAAGAUGGAAUCUCAGAGUUGUUUUGAUUUGCAUUUCUCUGAUGACUAAGGAUGUUGAAAAUAAUUUGUGUUUUAUGUACAAGUGUGAAAGUAUUUAUGAAAGUAUGUUUUUCUAUAGAUGAAUAGGAUUUUCCCACUUUUCUUACAUUUACUUAAAGUUUUUGAACUUUUUAUUAUUAUUUCUUUGUAUAUGGAUGUUUUGCCUGCAUAUCUGUCUUGUCUGCACCAUGUACAUGCCUGGUACCUGUGGAAGUCAGAAAAGAAUAUCAGAUGUCCUGAAACUGGAGUAACAGAGGGGUGUGGGUGCUGAGACCCAAACUUGGUUCCUUUGGAAGAUCAGCAAAUGCUCGUAACCACUGAAUCACCUCCCUAGCUCCCAACAUUUAUUUAUUGAAUGCUUAUGUUUGUGGGAGUCCCAAAGCUCUAAUAUGGAGGCCUGCAUUCAGAAGACAAUGAGAUAUCACGAGACUGCUCUGGAGAGAGGAUGCUGCUGGCUAAAGAAGGGGGUGAAUGAAGCAGCUCUUGAUUUCUUUAAAACAGUAAGGCACCUGAUGGAGACAAAAAGGGCGGGAGUCAAGUGCCUACUAGCUCCUUCAUGGACUUCUACUGCCAUCACGCGGAUGGAGUUUCAAAUAUCACUUUGCCAGCGAGUUUUCGUCCCAUAAUUCUUAGCCAUGGCAGAAGAUGGCGACAGCAGACAUCUGUGGGUGCCCGGCUUGGGCCCCUGUGACUUCUCGGGCCCCAAAACAAAUAGACUUUGUUUUUCUCACCAGAACCUAGAGAAGGAAGCACCUUCCAGCCCUACGACACCAGCUAUUAGAUUCCUAUUGUAAAGCAAGCAGUGCAAACCACGCCCCUCCACGUCCUAUUCCUGGGCUAAAGGACAGUUGUGCACUAACAACUGGGCCCUCAGUCUCUAGGGUCUACAUUAAGACUGUGAAGGACCCUAUGACUUCAGUCUGCCUUCACGAAAAGAGCGAUAGAAAAUGGAAAGAAGGCCAAGCACAUCCAUUUGAGAAUCACCCUAACCGUCACCUGCAAAAACCGCCAGCACUGAGAAAACAGUGUAUGCAUGCCAAAGGAGAUAUGAAACUACACCCACGAGAUGGCGCUGUCGUCCCAGUGCAAAAAAAGGCACCAUCCAUACAGCCUCUCUACUCCCGCCUUGCCUGUCUGAAAAAAACUACAAUACAGAACCAGAGUCCUUCACAGGGAGUAAAUUUGAUUUACUGAAGGCUUGUCUUCCAUUUUAAUUUCAUCUGAGUGCCACAGAUAGUAGAUCUGUUCCCUCAUCAGAAUCCACCAUUAAAACACAAAACACAAAAACGCAAAGGUCCCAUGAUUUCAGUCUGUGCACACAGGGGGAAAAAAAGUGGUAGGAGUCAGGCUUGGUCAUUUAAGAAUCCCCCUGACCGGGCUGGAGAGAUGGCUCAGAGGUUAAGAGCACUGACUGCUCUUCCAGAGGUCAUGAGUUCAAUUCCCAGCAACCACAUGAUGGCUCACAACCAUCUGUAAUGAGAUCUGGUGCCCUCUUCUGGUGUGUGUUAAGCAGAAUGUUGUAUACAUAAUAAAUAAAUAAAANA